UUGCUCGCUUCAGCAGCACAUAUACUAAAACUGGAACGAUACAGAAAAGAUUAGCAUGGCCCCUGUGCAAAGAUGACACCCACAUCUGUGAGGUAUUCCUUUUUUUU
ensembl:snRNA U6 U6 spliceosomal RNA